UGGGGAAUAUUGCACAAUGGGCGCAAGCCUGAUGCAGCCAUGCCGCGUGUGUGAAGAAGGCCUUCGGGUUGUAAAGCACUUUCAGCGAGGAGGAAGGUGGUGAGCUUAAUACGCUCAUCAAUUGACGUUACUCGCAGAAGAAGCACCGGCUAACUCCGUGCCAGCAGCCGCGGUAAUACGGAGGGUGCAAGCGUUAAUCGGAAUUACUGGGCGUAAAGCGCACGCAGGCGGUUUGUUAAGUCAGAUGUGAAAUCCCCGGGCUCAACCUGGGAACUGCAUUUGAAACUGGCAAGCUAGAGUCUCGUAGAGGGGGUAGAAUUCCAGGUGUAGCGGUGAAAUGCGUAGAGAUCUGGAGGAAUACCGGUGGCGAAGGCGGCCCCCUGGACGAAGACUGACGCUCAGGUGCGAAAGCGUGGGGCAGCAAACAGGAUUAGAUACCCUGGUAGUCCAGCGCUGUAAACGAUGUCGAUUUUGGAGGUUGUGCCCUUGAGGCGUGGCUUCCGGAGCUAACGCGUUAAAUCGACCGCCUGGGGAGUACGGCCGCAAGGUU
rnacentral:rRNA from 1 species